rnacentral:rRNA from 1 species
UACGUAGGGGGCAAGCGUUGUCCGGAUUUAUUGGGCGUAAAGAGCUCGUAGGCGGUCUGUCGCGUCCGUUGUGAAAACUCGAGGCUCAACCUCGGGCUUGCAGUGGAUACGGGCAGACUAGAGUGCGGUAGGGGAGACUGGAAUUCCUGGUGUAGCGGUGAAAUGCGUAGAUAUCGCUUGGAACGCCGAAGGUGAAAACAGGUUGCUGGGGAUGUGCCGACGCUGAGACACGAAAGCCAGGGGAGCAAACGGG